AAACCGAAGUGAACAUGUACACCUCAUUUUCCAUGUGACAUGUGCCAAUCUAUUUCACUCCGCAUCCACCUCCUCCACCUCACCACGCCACCGCCGCUCUCCCUCAUCCACCGCCUCCUGUAGCAGCACGCCACCGCCGCUCUCCCUCAUCCACAGCCUACCGCGCCGGAUCUGGCAUCCCCGGCCAUGUUGCCACCCCGAGGCCGUCCAUCACACCGGCCGCCGGGAGCAUGAAGGUCACGAACCCAAGAUCCAAAACGGCCUCCAACUCCAUGCCCCACACCGGUCUCCUUCAAAUCAAUGGGGACGUCAAAGAAGAGAGGCGGCUGCCGGCAAGCACACUGGAUCUGGAUUCAUUUUUUUUAUGCGUGGUGCUAGCUUUCAUCCUGAUUUUGGAUGUUCCAGAUCCAUAAUUUCAGCCUGGUCGUUGACUGAAUUGGUUUAUUUUUUCUUCCUCUAGCGUUGCAUAAGUUCCAUAAUUCAUGGAUGUUUCUGUUCUUUCCAUUUUUUCUUCACGGAUGAUUUUCAUCAUUGCUCACCAAAGCCAAGAGCCAGAUUACGUAUUUGAUUUGCUUCCAUGUUUGCUCAUUUACUUCCAUGUUCUAUCAAUGAAACAGGUUGGAUUUGACGACGGGAUUCCUAAGGGCAUGUACAAUGGUGAUAUCUUCGCAGUGCCACGUAAGAUAAAUGCUGAGGUGGAGGAGAGAGAACGUUGAAAAAAGGGUUUGCCUUCUCUUAAUUAAGAGAUGAUCUCUUAAUACAAUCUCUCUCACCACAAAUUUAGGAUAUCUGAUUACUAGAGAUAAGACUAAAUAAUAAUCCAUUGUACAUCAUGUUUUGUUGUUAUAUCUAAAUUACGUGGCGACGCUAUGAUAAGACAUUCUUGUCAACCAUUGUACAUGCCCUAAUACUACCAGAUUGCAAACUAAUUAUGUCUUAUCCUGGACAUCUAAUUGUUCCAUAUCAAAAGAUAAACGUAAAAUGUUUGUAAAAUUUGUUCCAGACCGGAGGUGUUUUUUGCACUAAACAGAAACAUACUCAAGGGGCUCUUUACAUUGUUGAGAAGUAGUUGCACAGAUCUUGAUGCAAAAUUAGAUGUCCAGGAUAAGACCGGGACGCCCACGUAUAUGUAGAUGGGGAUUUUCGGUUGCCUCCGCAAGAUAGACAACCGUCGCCUCGCUGCCACCCGUCAGACCACGAGGCCUCCAGCGUCGACUUCCUCGGCUCGUUCCUACAGUAGCGCGGAGAAGGAGGCCGGCCCUCCCUUCCUCAUGCAGCCGCGAGUCGCGGGGGACAGGGGCCAGGUCGGGGCGGCGCCGGUCGCUCGAGGUCCCUGCGUUGGAUCCGCCGAUGCACGCGAUGGAGAAGAAAGCUAGGGCGGCCACGGCGUUCGUGGCGAUGAGGAGCGAAUCGAGCGGCUGCGUGGUUGUGGCCCACGCCACCCUGGCACGCGUCUAGGAACGCCAAGCGUGGCGUGGGACGGGGCGAACAUCGGCCUCGAGCCGGCGGCGGACAGCUAUAAUGGGUGUGGCGGCAAAGAGGAGCACGGUUUGCCGGUGGCGGGCAUGGUCUGCACCGUGGACGCCCUGGAGCAGCUAGGUCAGCACCGAUCUCAACAUCAUCCUUUCACCGACGUGGAUUCCCCGACCCAUACACGAUCAGCAGCACCGCCACGGUGCCCCGCACGGACCACACCGCGGCGAGGAUACCCAUGCUGGAGCCCAAUGAGGCACGACCCACACAUACUCUUCUUUAUGUUCUGUCCUGCCCUGUCUGCAUCCUGUUCAGUUGCCUUGUGUUCGCUGAAAUGCUUUAGCUCUUGUUCUCUGAAGCAUAUGGCCUUCACUCACCAGGACUUCUUCAGGACACAAGGGCACCAUCAGAACAUUAAAUGUCCAGUGGAUGACAGCAGGCCGCGACAUCGAGCAAUCGAAGAUGUCGGCGUGAAGAAGAGCCUGCAGCUCUGGAUCAACCUCGCCUCCAAUGGGCAAGUUAUCCAACCAAGGUACCAUGAGUAGUGGAGCAAAGAUAUAAGCCAGGCUUCAAAGGAAGGUGUCGGAGUCCGCAUCAUUGUUGGCGAUACCAUCAGGGUGCGGUUUAGGGAGGCCACAGAGACGGUGAAUGGAUGCAAUGCUGCUUCAGGUUUGUGCUCUUUUCAUGCUUGUGUCGUCCUGUGUCGAAAAAGCAUCCGAGAAAGAGAGGUGUUGUGGAGAGGAGCAAAAAAGAACGACAUGGAUAAGAAACAGCGGGUCAGGAGACAAGAUGGAGACUGGAGAAUAAUGAAACAGAAGUUUUGAUGGCACUCCAAGUGUGCCAGACAACCCCUCGUCCAGAGCUCCAUUCUCACCCCGCCAUGGAGGCUGGCCAGGAAUUAGCCUGAUGAGUCCACUAGGUGCACCCAAUUUGAUAGUCCAGUUUCUGUACAUAUUGCUCCAGUUCAUGAUGUCUGCGUACCUACUGCUGAUAUUGAACAUAUUUCGUUUUUGUGAUUAAUUGUCUCAUGUAGAUGCUCACAAAAAAUGUGGGGAACAUGUUCGUGGAUGUCUAUUCUAAGUGGAACCGAGAAGGACAAAAACCUAUUAUGUGCUAUCAACCUUCCUGAUGACCACACUAUCUAUAAUCUUUUGGGCUACAAGCACUAUUUUGCACUUAGCACCGUCUACACUAUAGAUACUCUGCAAUAAUCUUUGCAACCUGUCUACGUCGUUGCAACCUUAUGAAAAUGUUCUAAUAUAUCUGAAAUAUGAAAGUUCGAACCGCCAGAGCAUUAUAUAUGGUACUACCGAAUCUGUUGAUGGUCUUUUGUUUGGUCAAGCCACCAGUUAUUCCUGCGUCAUAUCAUUGUUAUCAUUUUGAGCAAAUCCUUGCCGAGAGGUGGGUCAGAUAUCUCACCCUUGCAGAUUUUUUCAGCUGUACUUACGCAAAAGAGAGGCCACCCCUGAUUAUAUUUAGUGGGCUAUUACUGUAUAGCUAGACACUAAUGGGCGUGUAUAAUAUAUUUCCUUGUCUACUAUGCACAGCCAAUUUUAUGCUGUGAGUUGUUGCUGUACUGAAAAUUGUAAAAAUGUUUUGCAAUUCCAGUGUUA